UACAGAGGUCUCAAGCGUUGUUCGGAUUCAUUGGGCGUAAAGGGUGCGUAGGCGGCGCGGUAAGUCGGGUGUGAAAUCUCGGGGCUUAACUCCGAAACUGCAUUCGAUACUGCCGUGAUUGAGGACUGGAGAGGAGACUGGAAUUUACGGUGUAGCGGUGAAAUGCGUAGAGAUGUGGAGGAACACCAGUGGCGAAGGCGGCUCUCUGGUCUGUAACUGACGCUGAGGCGCGAAAGCGUGGGGAGCGAACAGG
rnacentral:rRNA from 1 species